CUUCAGUGAUGAUACGAUGACGAGUCGGAUUGAGGCCCGUCUCUGAGGAUUCUGGGUCAGGCUCACGUUCUGUGCGUCUGACUUCAGUUCCUCAGAGAUCAGGUGUCCUCUUAGAUUGAAGAUGUAGAGGCAUUUGUCUGAGAAGG
ensembl:snoRNA SNORD15 Small nucleolar RNA SNORD15